UGGACAGCCGCGUCCAGGAAACGAGUCGCACGACUCAUCUCUCCAUCGCUCGAUCCCCCACCUCUCCGCUGGCGCUCGCGCUAGGGUUACAGGGCCGCCGCCCCCGCCCGCUAGACGCCGGCCACGGAGACGACGCCUGAAGCCGCUGCUCUGCCCCGAGGCUCGCAGCUGCUGCUCCGCCCGGGCGCUGGCCUCGACGCCCAACGCCGCCUCGCCAGAGUUCGCUCAGAAAAGAACUCAACGGCUGAUUCUGUGAGAAGUUUCUCAUAAGCUGAUUCUGGAAUCAGAUUCAUUGAUCGUAAUUGAAGCAUGUGAGGGGCAAUCAAGAUGAUGGGAUGAAGCUGCUGCAAUUUUUGCUGAAUGUGUGGAUGUUUCAGUUUUGAUUGGGAAGGUCAAAUUUAAACAUUGCUUUCGUAGUUCAAAUCAAGCGGCUCAUGUGUUAGCCAAUUAUAGUUUUUGUAAUAAGACUUCUAGUACCUGGACGGAUGAACCGCCGGGAUGUCUAGUCUCAAAACUUCUGGAUGAUGUAAUUUCUAUCUAAGUUAAUAAAGCUAGCCAUGAUGACCUUCCCUCAAAAAAAAAA